CAAAAGUGAUGGGACACAGUACUGGUUCUCAUACCAUGAGAUUUGCAUGUCAGUGUACAUUUUAUAUCUAAUACACAUAAAAUACAAUAUUUUAACCAACUUCAUACAGAAUAAAACAGCCUCUGCUACAUUUCCAUUCUCUAAUCAUCAGUACUGCUUCUACUGAACUGACUGCAUGUUUCUCUGUCUUUCUCACAGUGAUCUCUAAGCAGAGGAGGAAGACUCUGCCUGAUGACAUCUAUGAGGAGAUCGACCCCAGAUACGUCACCACCAGAAAUUAUUCAACUCAGCGGAGACGCAUCUUUUCGGAAGGAUAUGAGGAUGUGGAUGAGGAUCUUCACUCAGGAAGUAUCAUCUCUGAAGAUCAACAUUCAGGAUAUGAGGAUGUAGAUGAGGAGAUUCUCUCAGGUAAUUCUCUCAUUCUUUCUGUGUGUGUGUGUGUGUGUGUGUGUGUGUGUGUUCAGGGGGUUCUAAAACAACUAUGUCACACAGCAGAUCAUUAAACUAAUGGACAUUCUUCUUUUUUAUAUAUAUUUUUAGAAAAGUCUUUAACUGGAGUAAAAGCAGAAUAUUAUGAUGAUGUCAUCACCAGUGAUCAAAUAAGUGGGUUCCUUUAUAAAUGAAUCUCCUGAUUUUAUUUGUACAUUUUGCUACAGUGUCAAAUAUGAAGCUCUGUAUAUAAAGACGGUCUGCUUUUAUUUGAUUCAGGUGAAGCAGAAAAAGAGGAGCUAGCAGAAAACUAUGAUGAUGUCAUCACUGCUGAGCAGAUCACUGAUAGUUUAGCAGGUUUGAUUAUUUAAAACAAUAAACAAAAAUGUUUCACAGGAAGCA
rnacentral:lncRNA from 1 species